GUAUGCAAGGGUGAUUCGGCUGUUACAACUUGUCACCUAUUAAUUUCUAGAUUGAUUCGAUCCAUUUUGCUAGCUAGUUGGGUGUCCCUUUCCUCCCUUACCAUUCCAUACGUGUCCCUGCUGAAGCAGCAUGCUCAGUUGAAGAGGACAAUCUACCCCACUAGAAGAGGGUCAGUCGUCAGUCAAGGAUGUAGGAAUAGCUGUGCAUCCCUGUUUUAACCUCCAAGCAAGCUCUUAAAUCAGAUUGUUGAACUCCAAACCCUCCCCCCCAGAAAAAGAAAUCCAAGUUGAUAUGUUCAUUUAAAUCCUU
rnacentral:snRNA from 1 species